UCUAUGUUUUAUGACAUUCUCCUAACAAUGUAUUGUAGAAAUCUAUAUUGCAUCAAAUAGCAGAAGGAUCCUGAAAAAUUCCUUGAGUGGUAGAAGGACUCUUCAUACUCUUCAUUUUUUCUAUCUUUUAAAUUUCCUAGGCUCUCCAUUUUAUACCUGAAGAUAGCCAUAUUCAUCCUCUUCUCACUGGUGCAAUUUUGAAGUCUGCACAACAGAGGCAAGCAGGGAAAUCCAUAGUUGGCAAGUAGGGAAGAUCUCCAUCCUCACUAGCAAGACAAGAAAUGAGCUGCAGCUUUGAGUCAGGAUCUCCAGCCCUGACUUCAGCAAGAAGUGGUAUAGUUGUGGGCAAUUUACCUGUAGCACCCAGCUGAUCAUCUCUGCUUCUUGUGGAAAGAAAAAGCAGUUAUCUGAAGCUUGAAGGUUUUUGGAAAGAAACUGGCAAAACAGGAAGAAAUUCCCCCCAGGUGGAAACCAAAUGUCCAGAGAGCAUUGAGGUCUUUCCAGGCCCACGUGGGCUCUUCCUGGUAAGCUUGACACUGAACUGUCCCCAAGACACAGAGAUUCCUUUCCCUCAUGCCUUCAAGGAUUUACUACCCAGCAGGGACUUGUGAUGGUAAGAGGGAUUACCUGUGAGGGAGCCAAUCUCUUCAGCACUCAUCUGACAGGUUGCUGCAGAACUGGUAUGACUUGAGUUCAAAAUCACGCUGAGCAAUGGAUUAAAAUAAAGUAACAG
rnacentral:lncRNA from 1 species